CCUACGGGAGGCAGCAGUGGGGAAUAUUGCACAAUGGGCGCAAGCCUGAUGCAGCCAUGCCGCGUGUGUGAAGAAGGCCUUCGGGUUGUAAAGCACUUUCAGCGGGGAGGAAGGCGUUAAGGUUAAUAACCUUGGCGAUUGACGUUACCCGCAGAAGAAGCACCGGCUAACUCCGUGCCAGCAGCCGCGGUAAUACGGAGGGUGCAAGCGUUAAUCGGAAUUACUGGGCGUAAAGGGCACGCAGGCGGUCUGUCAAGUCGGAUGUGAAAUCCCCGGGCUCAACCUGGGAACUGCAUUCGAAACUGGCAGGCUAGAGUCUUGUAGAGGGGGUUAGAAUUCCAGGUGUAGCGGUGAAAUGCGUAGAGAUCUGGAGGAAUACCGGUGGCGAAGGCGGCCCCCUGGACAAAGACUGACGCUCAGGUGCGAAAGCGUGGGGAGCAAACAGGAUUAGAUACCCGGGUAGUC
rnacentral:rRNA from 1 species